GAGACUGAGCAUGCUCCGUGGGCAUGGAAUGCUGAAAACUCUUUGUGUGGAGGGCAGGGGUCACCAAUUUUUCUGGCCUAGUGGGCAUAUUUUGAAUUUUGUGAGAGUUCUAGGAGUGCCUGUCACAAAAUGGCUGCCAUGGAGGAGGUGGUUAGUAAAUGGCAGGUAAUGAUGAUGAUGAUGAUGAUGAUGAUAAUAAUAAUAAUAAUAAUAAUAAUAAUAAUAAGAACACAACAGAGAAAAUUAUGCACAUUUUGAGAUUUCGACAAGGACUAGAACCGCCAGACACUUUCAAAUAUGAUUUGGCAAUCCUGUAUGACAUACAGUGAAACCACCAUUAUUAGGACAACCUUCGUGAGAAGCCUAGCAAAUCUGGAACUAAAUACUUGGUGAUUUGUUAAAGGUGAUCGUCUUGACUUCAAUUUUAACACGUCUGCAACCACUGAUUCUACAUGCCUGUUUUCAUAGUUUGGCUUUUCACCUUUUAUUUUCCAUCUGUUAUAAUUGUUCACUCUGUUUUAUAUAUAAUGACAUUAAAAAAAAAAAUACUAAAAUAAUAAUAAUAAUAAUGGCGGUCAUGGGAAGCAUGGCAUAACAAAAAAUUAGAGAUACCUGAGGGUAUGUUCUACUGCUCAUGAUUAUGGAUCUUUUUUGUUUUCCAGUUAAAUCUGAGGGUCCGGGACACCUUGUGGGCCCCAUGGUGGUAAUAGGCACUGGACUGGCAAUCCUUCGUAUAGGGGGAUGGAAUGGAGUAUUCUGAAAAAGGGGGUGUUGUCCGGCUGGCACCAUCAACAAGAGGACUCCACAUUAUAAUAUUUUGUUAAAGGCCCUACUAGAUAUAUCUAAAAGGCCACUGAUGCUCAGUGUGCUGCAUUGAACAUGUUUAACAGCUAAAAUUGUGCAUAAAGUGUUUUUUUUUAAA